rnacentral:rRNA from 1 species
CAUGUAGUGGAUGACUUGGCUAGGGAGCCGAUGAAGGGCGCGGUAAGCGGCGAAACGCUAUGGGGAGACGCAGACAGUCUACGAUCCAUAGAUUCCCGAAUCGGAUUUCCGGUUAUGGCUUAAUAAGCUGUAACAGCCAGAAAUGGCGGGGAACGCAGGGAACCAAAACAUUCAAGUACCUGCAGGAAAAGAAAGCAAUUGCGAUUCCGGUAGUAACGGCGAGUAAAACCGGAAGAGAUCAAACCGAAUUCCCUUUUCGAAAGAUUAGGGCAGAUGUGGUGUUUUUGACUACAAUAUAGACCGUCAGUGUGAAGUCGAAAAUCCCUGGAAAGGGAUGCCGUAGAGGGUAAUAGCCCCGUAGACGUAAGCACCCGGCUUAGUAGUAUCAAGACUAGUGUGGCUUGGAUGUGUCGCACAAAGUCGGGAGAACUAACUCCCAAAUCUAAAUACUCCCCUAGACCGAUAGUGCACUAGUAACGUGAGUGAAAGUUGAAAAGUAUUCGAAGUCCGAGAGUGAAAAGUGCCUGAAACUACAUGGUAACAGACGUGGAUGGCUUGAAAGGGUAGAGUCUCGACGAAGGAACCCAUCGCAAGGUGGUAGUACGAGUCGAGAGGACCAGAGUCAUCCGUUCCGUCUCGAAACACGGGCCGAGGAGUUCAGGUUUGUGGCAAGCUUAAGCGAAAGCGGUAGCGUAGCGAAAGCAACCGGCGCGCAGCUUCGGCAAGGCGCGACGUCCGAUAAGGGCGUGAAGUCACAGGUCUGAGACCCGAAAGCAGUUGAUCUAUCCCUGGCCAAGAUGAAGCGCUUCGAAAGGAGCGUGGAGGUCUGAAGGGGUAUUGAUAUGCAAUUCAUUCCCAUGAGUUGGGGAUAGUGGCAAAAGACCAAUCUAAACUGCUGAUAGCUGGUUCCCUCCGAAGUAUCACCACAGGAUAGCGCUGCUGGAGGUUGCAUGUGAGGUAGAGCUACGGACGGAAGGUCCUGGGGAGUGAAAUCCUCACCCUUCCUUCCAACUCCGAACUUGCAUGCGCCGUAGAAGGCGGCAGACGGGCGUGUAUCCGCAAGGGAUAUGGCCGAAAGGGGAACAACCCUACAAUGGGUUAAGGGCCCUAAAUCCCGGUUAAAUGUUAAACUGAAUGGCGUCCAACGACUAAGACAAUGAGGCGGUAAGCUUAGAGGCAGCUAUCCGUUAAAAAAAGCGUAACAGCUUACUCAUCGAGUUGUUGGGCCCAGAAAAUGGACGGGGCUAAACCGGGUCCCGAUACCCAUUUGGACUCUAAAAGAGUCUCAGGUAGGAGGGCGAUCGGGUUGGGCAGAAGCUGGGGAGUGAUUCCCAGUGGACCGACCUGAUUUGCAGAUCUCGGUGGUAGUAGGAGCAUAGUGAGGUGAGAAUCCUCAUCGCCGAAAGCCCAAGGGUUCCUUGGCACUGUUCGUCAGCCAAGGGUUAGUCGGUCCUAAGGUCGGCCUUAACACGAGCCGAUCGAAAGGGAAACAGGUUCAUAUUCCUGUACCACGCAUAUAGGUGUGGCAACACAAGCUUUGAGCUAACGCUGGUGGGUAGGUGGCCUAGGAGAAUAUCCUAGUUAAAUGUAGAAUUCUGGGGAGAACCGUUAAGGUGAGAACCAGACGAAUGUAUGAAGAGGCUGGCCAUAGGUUGCUGGCUGCCAUCAAUCCCAACAGCCCGUGAAAAGGCAAAAAGAACGAUUAUGCGUGUCCGUACCCAGAACCGACACAGGUGUGGCUAGCUUAGAAGGCUAAGGCGUGUUAGGGGAGCUCGGGUGAAGGAAAUCGGCAAAUUAGUCCCGUACCUUGGGUAUAAGGGAUGCCUGGAGAGGUGCAAGCCUCACCAGGUCGCAGUGACUAGGGGCACCCGACUGUUUAAUAAAAACAUAGCAAACUGCAAGGGCGAAAGCCUGAGUACAGUUUGUGAAUCCUGGCCGGUGCCGGUGCUUGAAACCUGGGUUCAACCAGGCUAAGACCCGGUAAACGCCGGAGCUAACUAUGAGCUUCUUAAGGUAGGCAAAUGCCUUGUCUGCUAAUUACAGACGUCCAUGAAGGGACCAACGAGGUGCCCACUGUCUCCACCCGAAGCCUACUGAACCCACAGUCCAGCGAACAGUCUGGAACGCACCAUCGGGAAGAGAAGACCCUGUGGAGCUUUACUGCUGUCAGGGGCUGUUGUAUUGGUGUGCAUGCAUAGCAUAGUCAGGAGAUGCUGAUCCUACAUUCUCCGGGAUGUAGGGGAGUCGAACUUGAAAUACUGACCUUGUGCAUUGGUACGACUUACCUCUUGCGAGGGGGACACCCCCUGCCUGGCAGUUUCACUGGGGCGGUAGCCUCUUGAAAAGAUAUCAAGAGGGCCCAAUGCCGAGCUCAACCGGGACAGAAAUCCGGUGUAGAGUGCAAGGGCAAAAGCUCGGUUGACUGUGAACUUAACAAUAUGGUUCGCAGAUGUUAACGCAGGGCCUAGCGAUCCUCCGUAUUGUCCUUAGUAGACGACGGAGGUGGCAGAAAAGUUACCCCAGGGGUAACUGCGCUUCGAAAUAAUCACGUAGAAGUGCUCUCAACUGGGUAACGCUUAUAUCUAAUUUCCAUCUUUUCAAAAAGGCAGAGUUGAAAUAGCUCCUGUCUUCAAAUUUCCGUUUGUGAGGAAUUCAAGUUUUCGCCAUAUUGGCCAAUAAUAGACUUGAGCAGAAAGGAUCCUAUAUCUGUCUGAAAUCCAACCAUUAUUAAUUAAUGGAAAAUCCCGAAUGAACAUGAUGGAGAGCCAAUAAGCGUGAGGAAACCGAUAGAUCGAAGGAUUGGUAACUUGCCUGAUUAACAGGUUGACAACUGAUCCAUAAGAUCGAUGUGCCUUCAGGCACAAGCGCAGCCCUGAACAGAGUUGUCGUGGGUAAGAGUUCACAUCGACCUCACGGCUUGCUACCUCGAUGUCGGCUCUUCCUAGCUUGGUGGUGAUUCAGCCGCCAAGAGUGGGGUUGUUCGCCCAUUAAAAGGGAACGUGAGCUGGGUUUAGACCGUUGUGAGACAGGUCGGAUUCUAUCUGAUGGUGCUGACGGGUGAUUGAGAGUAAAGUCUCCACAGUACGAGAGGAACAGGCGGCUGGGGCCUCUGGUGUACCGGUUGUCCUUCCGGGCAUUGCCGGGUAGCUAAGCCCUCGACGAUAAGAGCGGAAUGCAUCUACGCUCGAAGCGUCUCUCGAAACGAGUCACCCAUUCUGCA